rnacentral:rRNA from 1 species
CCUACGGGAGGCAGCAGUAAGGAAUAUUGGUCAAUGGAGGCAACUCUGAACCAGCCAUGCCGCGUGCAGGAAGACGGCCCUAUGGGUUGUAAACUGCUUUUGAACUAGAGAAAACCUUGGUACGUGUACCGAGUUGAUAGUAUAGUUAGAAUAAGCAUCGGCUAACUUCGUGCCAGCAGCCGCGGUAAGACGAAGGAUGCAAGCGUUAUCCGGAUUCAUUGGGUUUAAAGGGUGCGUAGGCGGACUGAUAAGUCAGUGGUGAAAUCUCUCAGCUUAACUGAGAAACUGCCAUUGAUACUGUUAGUCUAGAGUACAGAUGAUGUGGGCGGAAUAUGACAUGUAGUGGUGAAAUACUUAGAUAUGUCAUAGAACACCGAUUGCGAAGGCAGCUCACAAAACUGUAACUGACGCUGAGGCACGAAAGUGCGGGGAUCAAACAGGAUUAGAUACCCUGGUAGUCCGCACCGUAAACGAUGAUUACUCGUUGUUGGCGAUAUGACAGUCAGCGACCAAGCGAAAGCGANAAGUAAUCCACCCUGGGGAGUACGCCGGCAACGGUGAAACGUCAAAUGAAUUGACGG